rnacentral:lncRNA from 1 species
UGUGGGGUCGGGCUCCAAAUUGCCAUAACUUCUUGAUGGUUUGUUCCCUUUAUCAAUAUGUAGUGAAUUUCUUUGUCUCUUUUGACUAAUUUUGGCUAGAAGCCCAAUUAUGAAAGGUCUGAGCAUUGCUACUCCUGCUGGCUUUCAGAUGCCUCUUGCUUGAGACGUCUUUCUCUUUCCCUUCACUUGUACUUGGUUCAUAUCGUCGCAGUGAGCUGAUUCUUGCAGAUUGUUGGGUCUGUUUUACAAUCCAGUCAGCCAGUCUGCUUCAUUUAAUUGGAGAAUUGAAAUCAUUUGCCUUUGGUCAUUGUUGAAAAGUAUGCACUAAGUCCUGUCAUUCUAUGGAUUCUCUUCUAAUUGUUUCAUAUAAUCUACAUGAGAUUCAUUUCUUGCUCCCUUAUUCAUCUUAGGGAUUUUAUGACUUACUAAAUCAAUAGUGUUUGAGUCUUUCCUCGUUCUCGUUUGUUCAUCAACUCUUCUAGGGAGAUUCAUUCCCUCCCAUGUUCUCUAGUUGUAGUUAUCUUGCUUCCUCUUCUGUGUGUCAGAUUCUUUGAGUAUCUUCUGGAAUGCUAGUUUAGUGGUCAGGAAUCCCUUUGCUUUAUGCUUAUUUUUAUUUCUUUAACUCUGAAGAAUAACUUUGUUGGAUAUAGUAGUUAUUUUCUUUCAGAGCUUAAAAUGCAUCAUUCCUUGUCCUGCCACCUUCAGUUUCUGCUAAGAAAUAUGUGAUUUUGAUGGGUUUACUGUUGUAAGUGACGUGCGGCUUCCCUCCUGCAGUUCUCAGUAUCUUUUCUUUUUUCUGUACCUUUGGCAGGUAACUGUAAUAUGUCACAGAGACAUGUUUUUCUGGUCAAGUCUCUGUGGGGUCCCAGGUUUUUCCUGUACGUGGACAUCCAUGUUUUCUUGAGAUUUGUGGAACUUUCUGAUAUUAUUUCAUUGAAUAGGUUUUCUAUGCCCUUAGCCUGUUCUUCUGCUCCUUUAUCUAUAUCAAAUAUUUAAAAGUUUGGCCUUAAUUGUGCCCCAUUGAUCUCAUCUGUUUUUCAUUCAUUAUUAUUUUUUCUUUAUUACUGCCUGAGUGUGGCAUUUCCCCAACCUUGUUAUUCAGCCCUAAUAUUCUCUCUUCUGCUUGAUCUGGUCUAUUGGUGAGGAUUCUCAUAGAAUUUUUAAAAUCUGACUUAUUGAGUUUUUAAUUUCCAAGGUUUGUUGGGUUCUUUUUCAGAAUCUCUACCUCUUUAUUGAAUUUCUCUUUCAUAUUCUACAUUGUCUUCCUUAAUUCAUUCGGCUGCUUAUUUGAAUUUUCUUUGAGUUCAUUAAUUUUUUAACCUUAUUAUUUUGAAUUCUUUGUCCGUAGUUCAUCCAUUUCAAUAUCUUUGGAGUCAGUUACUAGAGAGCUGUCAACCUUUGGAAGAGUCGAGUUGCUUUGCUUUUUUCACAUUGUAUUUACAUGUUUAGAUUUUGCAUCUGUUGGGAUAAGCGUGUCUUCCGUUUUAUGUGGGGCCAUUCUUAAGGAAUAGCCUUCUCUCCGUGAUGUGCCCUGGGCUAUCUGUUUGCUGUGUAGUGAUGAAUUUAAUUCCAGGUGGACUCAAUACUGCAGUUUCCCUGUGGCUCCUCUGCCCGUGAUGGUGACUUUGACAGUGUGUGUGGUGUCAGAGCUGAGGGACCUGCUCUGUCUGAAGCCUCCCGG